rnacentral:rRNA from 1 species
GGCUUUUUGAUUAUAAUUUAAAGUCUGACCUGCCCAAUGAUUUAUUAAAUGGCCGCAGUAUAUUGACUGUGCAAAGGUAGCAUAAUCAUUAGUUUUUUAAUUGAAAGCUUGUAUGAAAGGUUUAAUGAGAAAAAUACUGUCUUUAUUUAAAUUUAUUAGAAUUUUAUUUUUAAGUAAAAAAGCUUAAAUGUUUAUUGAAGACGAGAAGACCCUAUAGAAUUUAAUAUUUUCAUUAUUUUUAUUAAAUUUGGAAUUUUAUAUAUAAAUUUAAUGAAAAUAUUUAGUUGGGGUGAUAAAAAAAUUAAUUAAACUUUUUUUUAAUUUUAACAUGAAUUAAUGAAUAUUUGAUCCUUAUAGUAAAAUUAAGAUAAUAAGAAAAAAUUACCUUAGGGAUAACAGCGUAAUUUUUUUUAGAGUUCUUAUCAAAAAAAAAGAUUGCGACCUCGAUGUUGGAUUAAAAUGAAUUAUUGGUGUAGAAGCUAAUAUUUAAGGUCUGUUCGACCUUUAAAUUUUUACAUGAUCUGAGUUUAAACCGGUGUGA